UACGUAGGCAGCGAGCGUUGUUCGGAGUUACUGGGCGUAAAGCGCGCGUAGGCGGGUUGGUAAGUCCGCUGUGAAAGCCCGGAGCUCAACUCCGGAGGGUCGGUGGAUACUGCCAGUCUUGAAGGUGCUAGGGGGAGAUGGAAUUACCGGUGUAGCGGUGAAAUGCGUAGAUAUCGGUAGGAACACCAGUGGCGAAGGCGGUCUCCUGGGGCAUUCUUGACGCUGAGGCGCGAAAGCUGGGGGAGCGAACGGG
rnacentral:rRNA from 1 species